GUCUUAUUGAUAUUAAAAUAAUAAGUUUAUUCUGCCCAUUGAAUUAAAUUUAAAAGGCUGCAGUAUAUUGACUGUACAAAGGUAGCAAAAUCAAUAGUUUUUUAAUUGAAAACUUGUAUGAAAGAAUUAAUAAAAUAUAAACUGUCUUAAAUUAAUUUAAUUUUAAUUUAAAUUUAAAGUUAAAAUGCUUUAAUAAAUUUAUUAGACGAUAAGACCCUAAGAAUUUAAAAUAAUUUAUUUAUAAUAAGAAAUGUAAAUUUAAAUUAAUUAAUAGUAUUAUUUUUUAUUGGGAGGGUAAUUAAAUUUUUAAACUUUAAUUUAUAAAAACGUUGAUAAAUGAAAAUAAAUAAUGAUAAUUUUAAUAAUUAUAAGAAAUAAUUACCUUAGGGAUAACAGCGUAAUAAUUUUGGAAAGUUCAUAUUAAUAAAAUUGUUUGCGACCUCGAUGUUGAAUUAAAAUAAAAAUUAAGUGAAGAAACUUAAAAUUUUAGUCUGUUCGACUAUUAAAAUUUUACA
rnacentral:rRNA from 1 species